CCUCACACAAAGACAUGAGUUGGGAUGAAGCUGAAAAAAGUAGCUUAUUGCAGCUCUCUCCCCCAUUUAUCUCUUUCAUCUAUGAAUAAAGUAGUUGGUGAAGCUAUUUUACCUAACACUUUUUUCAAAAAUAGCUCAACUUCACCUAUAAAGUUGCUCAUGAAGUUAUUUUCUAAAAGACAGCUUUACUAGUAAAGUUGAGUUGUGCCAAACAAGCCUUUAGAGGGUGCCAUCUCUCUCUGCCGCCCAUGCUCCUUGUUUCUCGCUCGCUCACUCUCUCUCUCUCUCUCUCUCUCUCUCUCUCUCUCUCUCUCCUUUUUUGCCUA
rnacentral:lncRNA from 1 species